AGAGUCAAUGUGGAGGAUAUAUACAGGGGGUACCGGUACAGAGUCAAUGUGGAGACUAUAUACAGGGGGUACCGGUACAGAGUCAAUGUGGAGGCUUUAUACAGGGGGUACCGUACAGAGUCAAUGUGGAGGCUUUAUACAGGGGGUACCGUACAGAGUCAAUGUGGAGGCUAUAUACAGGGUAUUACGGUACAGAGUCAAUGUGGAGGCUAUAUACAGGGUAUUACGGUACAGAGUCAAUGUGGAGGCUAUAUACAGGGGGUACCGGUACAGAGUCAAUGUGGAGGCUAUAUACAGGGGGUACCGGUACAGAGUCAAUGUGGAGGCUAUAUACAGGGGGUACCGGUACAGAGUCAAUGUGGAGGCUAUAUACAGGGGGUACCGGUACAGAGUCAAUGUGGAGGCUAUAUACAGGGUAUUACGGUACAGAGUCAAUGUGGAGGCUAUAUACAGGGGGUACCGGUACAGAGUCAAUGUGGAGGCUAUAUACAGGGUAUUACGGUACAGAGUCAAUGUGGAGGCUAUAUACAGGGUAUUACGGUACAGAGUCAAUGUGGAGGCUAUAUACAGGGGGUACCGGUACAGAGUCAAUGUGGAGGCUAUAUACAGGGGUACCGGUACAGAGUCAAUGUGGAGGCUAUAUACAGGGGGUACCGGUACUGAGUCAAUGUGGAGGCUAUAUACAGGGUGUACCGGUACAGAGUCAAUGUGGA
rnacentral:lncRNA from 1 species